rnacentral:rRNA from 1 species
UAGGGAAUCUUCCGCAAUGGACGCAAGUCUGACGGAGCAACGCCGCGUGAGUGAAGAAGGAUUUCGGUUCGUAAAACUCUGUUGUUAGAGAAGAACAGCGCAUAGAGUAACUGUUAUGCGUGUGACGGUAUCUAACCAGAAAGCCACGGCUAACUACGUGCCAGCAGCCGCGGUAAUGCGUAGGUGGCAAGCGUUGUCCGGAUUUAUUGGGCGUAAAGCGAGCGCAGGCGGUCAAUUAAGUCUGAUGUGAAAGCCCCCGGCUCAACCGGGGAGGGUCAUUGGAAACUGGUUGACUUGAGUGCAGAAGAGGAGAGUGGAAUUCCAUGUGUAGCGGUGAAAUGCGUAGAUAUAUGGAGGAACACCGGUGGCGAAAGCGGCUCUCUGGUCUGUAACUGACGCUGAGGCUCGAAAGCGUGGGGAGCGAACAGG